UACGGAGGGAGCUAGCGUUGUUCGGAAUUACUGGGCGUAAAGCGCGCGUAGGCGGCUUUGUAAGUUAGAGGUGAAAGCCCGGGGCUCAACUCCGGAAUUGCCUUUAAGACUGCAUCGCUAGAAUCCGGGAGAGGUGAGUGGAAUUCCGAGUGUAGAGGUGAAAUUCGUAGAUAUUCGGAAGAACACCAGUGGCGAAGGCGGCUCACUGGACCGGCAUUGACGCUGAGGUGCGAAAGCGUGGGGAGCAAACAGG
rnacentral:rRNA from 1 species